AACUCCAACCCUGUUCCUGGAGAGAGACCCUCCUAUAGGUUAACUCCAACCCUGUUCCUGGAGAGAGACCCUCCUGUAGGUUUUAACUCCAACCCUGUUCCUGGAGAGACCCUCCUGUAGGUUUUAACUCCAACCCUGUUCCUGGAGAGAGACCCUCCUGUAGGUUUUAACUCCAACCCUGUUCCUGGAGAGAGACCCUCCUGUAGGUUUUAACUCCAACCCUGUUCCUGGAGAGAGACCCUCCUGUAGGUUUUAACUCCAACCCUGUUCCUGGAGAGAGACCCUCCUGUAGGUUUUAACUCCAACCCUGUUCCUGGAGAGAGACCCUCCUGUAGGUUUUAACUCCAACCCUGUUCCUGGAGAGAGACCCUCCUGUAGGUUUUAACUCCAACCCUGUUCCUGGAGAGAGACCCUCCUAUAGGUUAACUCCAACCCUGUUCCUGGAGAGAGACCCUCCUGUAGGUUUUAACUCCAACCCUGUUCCUGGAGAGAGACCCUCCUGUAGGUUUUAACUCCAACCCUGUUCCUGGAGA